GACGAACGCUGGCGGCGUGCUUAACACAUGCCAGUCGAACGGAAAGGCCCUGCUUUUGCGGGGUGCUCGAGUGGCGAACGGGUGAGUAACACGUGAGUAACCUGCCCUUGACUUUGGGAUAACUUCAGGAAACUGGGGCUAAUACCGGAUAGGAGCUCCUGCUGCAUGGUGGGGGUUGGAAAGUUUCGGCGGUUGGGGAUGGACUCGCGGCUUAUCAGCUUGUUGGUGGGGUAGUGGCUUACCAAGGCUUUGACGGGUAGCCGGCCUGAGAGGGUGACCGGCAACAUUGGGACUGAGAUACGGCCCAGACUCCGACGGGAGGCAGCAGUGGGGAAGAUUGCACACUGGGCGGAAGCCUGAUGCAGCAACGCCGCGUGCGGGAUGGCGGCCUUCGGGUUGUAAACCGCUUUCGCCUGUGACGAAGCGUCAGUGACGGUAAUGGGUAAAGAAGCACCGGCGAACUACGGG
rnacentral:rRNA from 1 species